rnacentral:rRNA from 1 species
CGAGCACGCGCGUGUGGCAUAUCAAUAAGCGGAGGAAAAGAAACUAACAAGGAUUCCCUUAGUAACGGCGAGUGAAGCGGGAAGAGCUCAAAUUUGAAAUCUUCAAGGUUCUACCUUGACGAAUUGUAGUUUAUAGAAGUGUUUUCUGUUAGUGGAGUGGCAAAAGUUCUUUGGAAUAGGACAUCAUAGAGGGUGAGAAUCCCGUAUUUGGUCAUUCCUCCUAGCGUUGUGAUACACUUUCAACGAGUCGGAUUGUUUGGGAAUGCAGUCCAAAAUGGGUGGUAAAUUUCAUCUAAAGCUAAAUAUUGGCGAGAGACCGAUAGCGAACAAGUACCGUGAGGGAAAGAUGAAAAGAACUUUGAAAAGAGAGUUAAACAGUACGUGAAAUUGAUCAAAAGGGAAGCGUUUGACACCAGUGUUGUUUUUCCGAAAAUCAAUUACGAAUGUUUUAGUUUUUGAGGAGUUAUGACUUCAUCGGCUUGCUCCUUUCUUUAUGAAACUUUCUUAAUGCACUUUUCGGUUAACAAGUCAACAUCAAUUUCUUUUGUUGUAAAAGGGUAUGAGGAAGGUGGCUUUCUUUUCGGAGAAAGUGUUUAUAGCCUUGUAGCCUCUGCAAUCGGAGAGAUUGAGGUCUGCAGCGUAGAUCCUUCGGGGUUAGGAUACAGUUUGUGCUAAGUUAUAGCUUUUCAUAGACAACUUGUUGACUAUGUUAAGUCUUGUAGCUUACUCGCUUAUGCUAUUUUACCUACGCUUAGGAUGUUGAUGUGAUACUGCGAGCA